rnacentral:rRNA from 1 species
GACGAACGCUGGCGGCGUGCUUAACACAUGCAAGUCGAACGGUGAAGGGGAGCUUGCUCCCUGGAUCAGUGGCGAACGGGUGAGUAACACGUGGGUAACCUGCCCCAGACUCUGGGAUAACACUUCGAAAGAGGUGCUAAUACCGGAUAUUUUGAUCGGAAGACAUCUUUUGAUUAAGAAAGAAUUUCGGUCUGGGAUGGACCCGCGGCCUAUCAGCUUGUUGGUGAGGUAACGGCUCACCAAGGCGACG